AGGGCAGGGUUUUGGUAAGUGUAUUCAUUCAAUAAUUAUUUUUUGAGUGCCUGCUGUGUGCCAAGUACUGU
rnacentral:miRNA from 1 species